ACUUUGUCCAUUUGAGAUACUAUAGUUCUUCCAUUGGUUCUUUCUCGUCUCUACAUAAGGGAAUGUAGCUUGAGUUCAAUCAAUAAAUAGACUUCGGUUCUGGAUGUGUUCACAGGGCUGCAGCUUUGUGCAGGGUCUUUAUUUGAAGCUGACUUGUCUUUGGUUUAAUGAGGGUAUGUUAGUGACAUUUUUUAGUGUUGAAGCUUUGGGCAUGACCUAGUAGGUGGCUCUUAGUUGGAGUGGUCAGUUGUCAGGCUCUUGCUCAGUCAUGUGGCUCCCCUGUAUUUCCCCACGUUUGCAGCCGUGCUCCUUCUCAAUGCUGUGAAAGUGUGGGCUCCUCUCCCACUUGAGUGCUGACUAUAGCUUGUAUCUUGGCACUACCAGGCUGUACAUAACAGCUCUGAGGUGAUGUCAGGGUUAAUGUUUACUCCCCGACUUGAAGGCAUUGAAGGAAGGGACCUUAGUAGUAGUUGUAACUGAGGGUAUUUUGCUUGUCUCCUGGGGGCUCCACCCCAGAGAUGCAGGUGAGCAAUCACUCAGUGCAUUCAGCGUGGGAUGGGGGUGUCUGUGCUGUGGGCCCAAGCGAGGGGUUCCCUGCCUGGUGAUGUGAGGGGUGGGUGGUUGACCAAUGGGAGACAGACUGGCCUCCUCUCUUGGGUUGACAGCAGCUUGUUGGAGGUAUGCAUAAGGCACUUGGGGUCUUGCUCCUUCAUUAGUUCCAAGGUAGCUGGGGUAGUACCACUGCAGAGGCAAUGUUAAGACAGGCUUUCUGUUACCCCUGGGGUCUCCACCUCCUGGAAAUGUGAAGCCAUGUUAAUGGGAGUGUUUAGCUAGAGGAGUGGGGUGGCUGCACUGCUGGUGUAAGUAUGGGACUUCACUUCUUGGGAAACAGGAGGUGGAAAUCUUACCAGGAGGAGACUGUUCUCCUCACCAUGUGGUAACUGCAGUGUGCUGGAAGUUCAGGUGACUGUGGCAUGAUGUUAGCUUGUAAACAAAGAGCUUCAGACUCUUUGUCUCCUCCCCAGACCCAAGGCAGCAGGGAUAAAACUGCUGCUGUGGCAGUGGCAGAGGUAGGAUGGUUGUGGGAGCCUCUCCCCAGGGAAACUCUAGUCAACUACCAGUGGAUAUGCUCAGCCAUGGGUAGGGUGACUGUUGUGCAGUCAUGGGCAGGGGGCCCUGCCUCCUGAAGAAUAGGGAUGCAGAUUCUCAGGGAAGAGGGGCUGGACUCCUCUUCAUAUAGUGGCGAUGAUGUGCUGGAGGUGCCAAUGUAGUGAAUAGGCCUUUGUUCCUUCCCCAGCCAGAGGGCUGCUGGGGCUGUCCCACUGCAACGGUCAUGGUGGAUGGGUUAUGGGUUGACUGUGGGAUUUCUUUCUUGGAGAAAUGCUGGACUGCCUGAUUGAGGAGACAAGGCAAGGGAAGAAUGCCUGUGCUGGAGUCUCUGGUCAGGUGGCUC
rnacentral:lncRNA from 1 species